ensembl:lncRNA
CUUGAUCAACGAACUCUCCGCUUUGGCCGUAUUGGGAAGAUCACAGCAGACAGCUUCAGAAAAAGUUUUUUGGAGUGGGAGGCUGUUAGAUUUGAGGUGGAUAAGAUCUGCAGGGAGGAGCAUUUUGUCUGCCCUGCAUGCACCCCAGACAUGCUUGCUGUUUCUGUGGAUGGAAAUCGCAAGCACUACCGCUUUAAGAAUGCAGCAAGGUCUCUGGAAGAGGUGUCUGUGGAGGGGAGUGGUCAGCUGCAAGGGAAACGUCUCAGAAAUCCUCAAGUAAAAUUGAUGAGGAGGGACUUGAGCUUGCAGUCUGUCGACAUGGAGUUUUUCUCACCGCUCUCAACAUGUUCAGGGGAGAAAUAUAUGCUUAUCCCCUCUACCUGCAGAACAAGCUGGCAAAUACGCCAAUAAGCUUUUUUGCCAUGGAUGUAACCUGCAAGUACUGGCCUUACCUCAACAAAGUCACAAAAAGCUGCCCGGAGCUCCAGCACCUUCUGAGCAUGAAACCAUUCCUCUCAGUGUUUCAUGCCAAAGCCCAUGAUUUUAAAUGCGAGGUUAAAUGGAGUGGAGCUUACCAGCAAGGGGCCGGAUUGACACUUGGCGAGGAGGUUGAGCAGUGUAACGCCUUCCUCUCUAGGAUUGCUGUGACCACGAAGCACAUGUCCAAAGCAGGACGUACUGACAUGCUUACAUUGAUGGCCAUGCGCUGGAAUCAGCAAAAGUUUAAUAACUUGGCUACUUCACUUGCCUGCCGAUAUCAGAAGGCCACAAAACGUCUGGAAAGCCAACUUCAGGACCUGGAAAGCAUGAGAAUCCAGCUGGCAGUGACACAGGUUGAAGUUGAGGGCUGGGUCACUGAUAUUAAGGAGUGGGCAGAAGCAACAACAUCCCAAAAGAAUGCCGAUCUUGACGCAGUGAUCAAUAGAAUAGAGGUGCUGGUGGCCAGCAUUAAAAGAAGGUCCCAGCGCCUUUACAAAGACACCGAUGGCAGCAAAGGUCGGGCCCGGAUCCGGCGCAAAAUCAGAGAGGAGAAGGCCAUUCUUAGCUCUGUUGUUGAAAAAUACAACAGUAUGGUUCCAGAUACAGAAAGAAUCGCCUUUGACAUCAUUCUCUCUGACGAGACAGUUUGGCCAUGGCAACUUUCACAUGG